AGUUCAGGCAUUUUUCAGGGGGUUUUCAGACAUUUUAAGCAUCACUAUUGUGGGCUUUGCAGUGAACUGAUGAAGAAAAUGUUUUUCAAAUUAGUUUUGUUCUGGUUGAGUUUGUGGCGUCUGACUGGAGUGAUUGCUGAUGAUGGAGAGAUGUUAGCUGCUGAAGAAAAAUCUGUCACUUUUAACUCUGAUCUUACUGAAAUGAUGGAUGAUAGUGUGAUUCAGUGGAGGUUUGUAAGUGAAAACGCUUUAAUAGCUGAAAUCAAUAAAUGGGCUGACAGGAUGACUGUGUAUGAUGAUGUUCUUGAUGGGAGAUUCAGAGACAGACUGAAGCUGGACAAUCAGACUGGAUCUCUGAUCAUCACAAACAUCACAGUGAAACAUGCUGGACGUUAUGAACUGCAGAUCAACGGUGUGAUCAAGUCCUUUAAUCUUACUGUCAUCAGACUGAAGUUCAUGUCAGUGAAAAAGCACAGUUCUGUCACUCUGAUCAAUGAUCUUAUCGAAGUGAUGGAUGUUGAUCUGAUUCAGUGGAGAGCUGGACUUAAAAGGACCUGUAAUUGCUGAAUUCAAUGUACUGGAGAAAACCAGCAGUGUAUAUGAUGAUGGCUUCUCUGGGAAAUUCAAAGACAGACUAAAGCUGGAUGGUCAAACUGGAUCUCUGACCAUCACAAACACCAGAACCACAGACAGCAGUUUUGAACUCAAGAUCAACCUUAUGAAGACAUUUUUCAUUCUCAGUGUCUACGAGGAAAUAUCAGUAAUGGAGGAAGAUUCAGUCACUCUAAACUCUGGUCGAACUGAAAUGGAUUAUAAAGAGAUUCAAUGGAGAUUUGGACUUAACAACAUUUUAAUAGCUCAAAUCAGUUUAAUGAAAGACAUGAGUGAAGUGUAUGAUGAUGUUCUUGAUGGGAGAUUCAGAGACAGACUGAAGCUGGAUCAUCAGACUGGAUCUCUGAUCAUCACAAACACCAGAAAUGAACACAGUGGAAAGUAUUAUCUAUACACUGACACAACCAAGUUUUACAAUCUCACCG